ACAAUAAGUUACAAAAUCACUGAACAACAACAACUCAGAAACACUGACUACGAAGCGGUUGCUGCUGCCAUGUUGAGUUUACCUACCAGCGCUAGCCUGCUGACAGGUUAGCACACACAAGUUAAAUAAAC